AUCCAUGAAAAAAAGAAAUAGCUAUGUGAACUUUCAUGCAACUUAACGGUACUUACUCCUGCAAGAGAGCAAAAUCUUCUCCUGCUGCCAUCCAUCCCUGUACUGCAAUAGCACCCUCUCUUGUAUCCAUUCCUUACCCACAGGAGCAGGCAAAGACAAUUUACUAUGUACUAGACAUCUUUGGUUAUGAUAAAUGGUGUGUGUCUGUGUGUGAUAAUGUUGUUCAUCUCUUCAACAGAGGGAGAGAAAGAGUCAGAAAAGAGGCCUCUGGUGGGUUGCAAGUGCAUCCACUAAAUUUCCUGGCAUGGUAGAGAUAUGUAUUACUUAUAUUUAUAACUCACUGGCCAAGACUAUUCAUAUUCCACUGGAUCACAAGAGAGAUUGGAAGUGUGAUUUUACUAUGUGUGCAGAAGGCUGAUCCUACCAUGUGAUAAAAUCAUUUAGUGAGCAUAAGUUACAUUCAUUCUAAGGAUCCGACCUUAAGGAAUUUCUCUGCUUAUGGAACAAGAGAAAGAGUCUUGAACAAAGAGAUCAUAAAAGAGGUGAAUGAAGGAUUUCAGAGUAAAGUUUAAGAUUUUCCUGUGCUCUGAUCAUUGAAAUAUUCUUUCCAGACUUCUCUUUCCAAUUUCUUUCUCUUUGGAAGAUGGGACAAGAGUUACUGGAAAUUCUGUGCUGGCCUAGGUUUGGCUAUGAUAUUCUAAUUUUUCACCAUUUCCCCUCAUUCCAACCUAAGUCACAUUUUGUUUGGAUGGAUUGUUGAUUCACCAUGUCUGGAGUCCUCACCUGUGUCACUUUUCUUCCUAAAAUCCUUCCUGUUUCCUGACAUGUUUCUGGUUGGUGAUCAACUUUUCCUUUCUUUCAUGGCUUAAGGAGGUUAGACAAGAAUCAUCCCAUUUGACCUUUGUGGUUUCACUCCUGGUGUUCUCUUGCUCAGACUUUGGUGCCUGCCUUCAAGGAGCCCCACCCCUUGGUGGUGAAUGGCUUUUCCUCCUGUCUCCACUACUCUCAACCCUUCUCUCAAAGCCAACCAUCCUGAUCAAUCCAUAAACCAAUUUUUUCACCUUACUUAAGGUAAUAUGACAAAGUAUAACAUAUGCAGGAUGUGAAGUCAUACAGACUGCAUAAAAUCCUGGUUCUACCAAUUCUAGCCAUGUGGCCUUCAGUGAGUUACUUCUUACCUCACUCAAUCUUUAUUUUCCCAUCUGUAAAAUGGAGUCAGUGACACAAAACCUCAAAGACCAGUGGUGACAAUCAUAGGAGAAGAUGGUAGGUAAUGCAUGAGUAUUGUUUCCUAUAUCAGUUUCCUGUCUU
rnacentral:lncRNA from 1 species